ACUCCUACGGGAGGCAGCAGUGGGGAAUAUUGGACAAUGGGCGCAAGCCUGAUCCAGCCAUGCCGCGUGAGUGAUGAAGGCCCUCCGGGUCGUAAAGCUCUGUGGAGAGCCACGAAACCACGGUGGUUAAUAGCACCGUGCUGACGGUAGCUCUUUAGCAAGCACCGGCUAACUCCGUGCCAGCAGCCGCGGUAAUACGGAGGGGUGCAAACGUUGCUCGGAAUCAUUGGGGCGUAAAGCGCACGUAGGCGGUCUGAUGUGUCGGAUGUGAAAGCCCUAGGCUUAACCAAGGAAGUGCAUUCGAAACUGUCAGACUUGAGUAUGGGAGAGGGUUGCGGAAUUCUCGGUGUAGAGGUGAAAUUCGUAGAUAUCGGGAGGAACACCAGUGGCGAAGGCGGCAGCCUGGACCAAUACUGACGCUGAGGUGCGAAAGCGUGGGGAGC
rnacentral:rRNA from 1 species